AUUUUAGGCGAUUCAAACAAAUGGCGAUUUUCUAAAGAUCAAUUCAAACCCUAUCCAGCUGAUUCUCAGUUAUUUUGAGAAUCAAUGUGAUGUUGAUGUGCAUCGUUGUGUUUCAUGCAAUGUUUUACAAGCAAGACGGUGGCACGAACUACUUUGUAUAAAUGCAGACGAGGCGAAGCUGAUUAACUGAACAAUUUUUUUCUUCCAAAUAAUUAUUAUUAAUAUUAAUUAGUGUUUGGUGAUGCGUUCUUAAGAUUAAGAAGAUUUUUUAAACUAUUCAUUAAAAUAAUGAUUGUAAAUCCAUA